rnacentral:rRNA from 1 species
UCAAGCAACUAAGCGCAUACGGUGGAUGCCUUGGCAGUCAGAGGCGAUGAAAGACGUGGAAGCCUGCGAUAAGGCUCGGGGAGCUGGCAAACAAGCUGUGAUCCGGGCAUUUCUGAAUGGGGAAACCCACCGACUUUCGGGUCGGUACCUUACACUGAAUCCAUAGGUGUAAGGGGCGAACCGGGGGAACUGAAACAUCUAAGUACCCCGAGGAAAAGAAAUCAACCGAGAUUCCCUAAGUAGCGGCGAGCGAACGGGGACUAGCCCUUAAGCUAGACAACUGGUAGGAGAAGGCUCUGGAAAGUGCCGCCAUAGUGGGUGAUAGCCCCGUAUCCGAAACCUGAGUCUGGUGAAAUCGAGUAGGACGGGACACGUGAUAUCCUGUCUGAACAUGGGGGGACCAUCCUCCAAGGCUAAAUACUCCUGACUGACCGAUAGUGAACCAGUACCGUGAGGGAAAGGCGAAAAGAACCCCUGUGAGGGGAGUGAAAUAGAUCCUGAAACCGUAUGCGUACAAGCAGUCGGAGCGGACUUGUUCCGUGACGGCGUACCUUUUGUAUAAUGGGUCAACGACUUGGUCUUACUAGCAAGCUUAAGCCGAUAGGUGUAGGCGCAGCGAAAGCGAGUCUUAAUAGGGCGAAUGAGUUAGUAGGAUCAGACCCGAAACCGAGUGAUCUAGGCAUGUCCAGGAUGAAGGUAAGGUAACACUUACUGGAGGUCCGAACCCACACCUGUUGAAAAAGGUCGGGAUGAGGUGUGCCUAGGGGUGAAAGGCCAAUCAAACUCGGAGAUAGCUGGUUCUCCGCGAAAUCUAUUUAGGUAGAGCGUCGUCCGAAUACCCCGGGGGGUAGAGCACUGGAUGGGCAAUGGGUGCAU